rnacentral:rRNA from 1 species
UACGAGUGGUGCAAGCAUUAUUCGGAAUCAUUGGGCGUAAAGGGUGCGUAGGCGGCAUGCUAAGUCUGCUGUUAAAUAUCUCGGCCUAACCGGGAACAUGCGGCGGAAACUGGCGUGCUAGAGGAUGGAAGAGAGAAGUGGAAUUCUCGGAGUAGCGGUAAAAUGCGUAGAUCUCGAGAGGAACACCGAUGGCGAAAGCAGCUUCUUGGUCCAAUCCUGACGCUGAUGCACGAAAGCGUGGGGAGCAAACAGG